GUCCUGGNUCUGAACGAACGCUGGCGGCGUGCUUAACACAUGCAAGUCGAACGAGAAGUCCGUAGCAAUACGGAUUGUAAAGUGGCGCACGGGUGAGUAACACGUGGGUAAUCUGCCCCUGAGUUUGGGAUAACCCCGCGAAAGCGGGGCUAAUACCGAAUAAGACCACGGGGACCAAAGUCCCUGAGGUAAAAGAUGGCCUCUAUUUAUAAGCUAUCACUUGAGGAUGAGCCCGCGGCCCAUUAGCUAGUUGGUAGGGUAACGGCCUACCAAGGCAAUGAUGGGUAGCUGGUCUGAGAGGACGAUCAGCCACACCGGAACUGAGACACGGUCCAGACUCCUACGGGAGGCAGCAGUGGGGAAUAUUGCGCAAUGGGCGAAAGCCUGACGCAGCAACGCCGCGUGGGGGAUGAAGGUUCUCGGAUUGUAAACCCCUUUCGAUCGGAACGAAUCCCCUCUCGGUGAAUAAUCGGGAGGAUCGACGGUACCGAGAGAAGAAGCCACGGCUAACUCUGUGCCAGCAGCCGCGGUAAGACAGAGGUGGCGAGCGUUGUUCGGAUUUAUUGGGCGUAAAGCGAACGCAGGCGGUUUGGUAAGUCAGAGGUGAAAGCCCACAGCUUAACUGUGGCACUGCCUUUGAUACUGCCUUUCUUGAGUACAGUAGGGGGGAAGCGGGAAUUCCGAGUGUAGAGGUGAAAUUCGUAGAUAUUCGGAGGAACACCGGUGGCGAAGGCGGCUUCCUGGACUGUAACUGACGCUCAUGUUCGAAAGCGUGGGGAGCAAACAGGAUUAGAUACCCUGGUAGUCCCCGCCCCCUAAACGAUGGGCACUAGGUGUGGGAGGUAUCGACCCCUUCCGUGCCGCAGCUAACGCAUUAAGUGCCCCGCCUGGGGAGUACGGCCGCAAGGUUGAAACUCAAAUGAAUUGACGG
rnacentral:rRNA from 1 species